AACAUACACCAAGGCACAUCCCCUUGAAUAUGACGGGUAAGAGCAUCUAUCACUAAUGCAAAGAAGAGGGGGCUCAGCGCCGAUCCUUGAUGGAGCCCUGUAACCACUGAAAAAUGGCCUGAAUCGCCACCCACCGUCCUAACCCUAGUCUUAGCUCCAUUGUACAUGUCCUUGAUUACUCUGAUGUAGGCUUCCGGCACGCUCUUCGNN
rnacentral:lncRNA from 1 species